rnacentral:rRNA from 1 species
GACGGAGGCAGCAAGCGUUAUCCGGAAUGAUUGGGCGUAAAGCGUUCGCAGGUGGCUGUUCAAGUCUGCUGUCAAAGACCGGGGCUAAACCCUAGAAAGGCAGUGGAAACUGAACGGCUGGAGUGCAGUAGGGGUAGAGGGAAUUCCCAGUGUAGCGGUGAAAUGCGUAGAGAUUGGGAAGAACACCGGUGGCGAAAGCGCUCUGCUGGACUGCAACUGACACUGAGGGACGAAAGCUAGGGGAGCGAAAGGG